rnacentral:rRNA from 1 species
ACGGCUCAGUAACACGUGGACAAUCUACCCUUUCGGUGGGGGAUACUCUCGGGAAACUGAGGAUAAUACCCCAUAGGUCUAGGAUGUUGGAAUGCUUCUAGACUGAAAGUUCCGACGCCGAAGGAUGAGUCUGCGGCCUAUCAGGCUGUAGCAAGUGUAACGCACUUGUUAGCCUACAACGGGUACGGGCCAUGAGAGUGGUUGCCCGGAGAUGGACUCUGAGACACGAGUCCAGGCCCUACGGGGCGCAGCAGGCGCGAAAACUUCGCAAUGUGCGCAAGCACGACGAGGGAAUCCUAAGUGCCUAUGCUUUGCAUAGGCUGUUCUCCUGUCUAAAAAAUAGGGGGAGUAAGGGCUGGGUAAGACGGGUGCCAGCCGCCGCGGUAAUACCCGCAGCCCGAGUGGUGAUCGUUAUUAUUGGGUCUAAAACGUCCGUAGCUGGUCUGGUAAAUUCCUGGGUAAAUCGAACUGCUUAACAGUUCGAAUUCUGGGGAGACUGCCAGACUUGGGACCGGGAGGAGUCAGAAGUACUUUUAGGGUAGGGGUAAAAUCCUGUAAUCCUGAAAGGACUAUCAGUGGCGAAAGCGUCUGACCAGAACGGAUCCGACAGUAAGGGACGAAGCCCUGGGGCGCAAACGGGAUUAGAUACCCCGGUAGUCCAGGGUGUAAACGCUGUAGGCUUGGUGUCGGGGGUUCUACGAGGACACUCGGUGCCGGAGAGAAGUUGUUAAGCCUACUACCUGGGGAGUACGGUCGCAAGACUGAAACUUAAAGGAAUUGGCGGGGGAGCACAAGGG